rnacentral:rRNA from 1 species
GACAGAGGUGCCGAGCGUUAGGCGGAAUCACUGGGCUUAAAGCGCGUGUAGGCGGGCCGUUAAGUGCCUUGUGAAAUCCCCCGGCUCAACCGGGGAACGGCUGGGCAUACUGGCGGCCUUGAGAGACCCAGGGGUCACCGGAACAGGCGGUGGAGCGGUGAAAUGCGUAGAUAUCGCCUGGAACGCCCGCGGCGAAAGCGGGUGACUGGGGGUCCUUCUGACGCUGAGACGCGAAAGCCAGGGGAGCGAACGGG